CCUACGGGUGGCUGCAGUGAGGAAUAGUGGUCAAUGGGCGCGAGCCUGAACCAGCCAAGUAGCGUGAAGGAUGAAUGCCCUACGGGUUGUAAACUUCUUUUAUAAAGGAAUAAAGUGAGGCACGUGUGCCUUUUUGUAUGUACGUUAUGAAUAAGGAGCGGCUAACUCCGUGCCAGCAGCCGCGGUAAUACGGAGGAUCCGAGCGUUAUCCGGAUUAAUUGGGGUUAAAGGGAGCGUAGAUGGGUUGUUAAGUCAGUUGUGAACGUUUGCGGCUCACCCGUAAAAUUGCAAUUGAUACUGGCAGUCUUGAGUACAGUUGAGGUAGGCUGCAUUCGUGGUGUAGCGG
rnacentral:rRNA from 1 species